rnacentral:rRNA from 1 species
CACGUAGGGUGCGAGCGUUGUCCGGAAUUAUUGGGCGUAAAGAGCUCGUAGGCGGUGUGUCGCGUCGGCCGUGAAAACUUGCAGCUUAACUGUGGGCUUGCGGUCGAUACGGGCAUCACUGGAGUUCGGCAGGGGAGACUGGAAUCCUGGUGUAGCGGUGAAAUGCGCAGAUAUCAGGAGGAACACCGGUGGCGAAGGCGGGUCUCUGGGCCGAUACUGACGCUGAGGAGCGGAAAGCGUGGGGAGCGAACAGG